rnacentral:rRNA from 1 species
AUUGAACGCUGGCGGCAGGCCUAACACAUGCAAGUCGAGCGGAGCGGCGGACGGGUGAGUAAUGCCUAGGUAUGUGACUGGUCGUGGGGGAUGACGUCCGGAAACGGGCGCUAAUACCGCAUACUAUCGGCUGAGCAUAGGUGGGAUUAGCUAGUGGGUGGGGUAAAGGCCUACCAAGGCGACGACCCGUAACGGGCCUGAGAGGUUGAUCGGGAACACUGGAACUGGAACACGGCCCAGACUCCUACGGGAGGCAGAAGUGGGGAAUAUUGGGCAAUGGACGAAAGCCUGAUCCAGCCAGGCCGCGUGUGUGAAGAAGGUUUUCGGAUGGUAAAGCACUUUGAUUUGGGAGGCGGUACCUACACAGUAAGCACCGGCUAACUUCGUGCCAGCAGCCGCGGUAAUUC